CAGAAGGUCCAGUUGAUUUGACUUAUUUCUAUAGAUAUAAGACUCAUUUACCACUGCAUCUCAAAGAUUAGAAAUAGAGGAGAACCUACUUGGAAUCCACAUCCACCAGUCAGAAAAAACCCCAAUAUCAUUUGGGACGGUAAACAAAGAGAAAAUGAAGAUACCUAGAAGAGAACAAGCAAUCUAUUGGGCCUUGUGACACUGCUGUUCUGAAAAAGUAUUGGUUGAAGGAUGACCAGUCAAGUCACUCCUUGGCAGAUAUUUCUCUUGGAACCCCACAUGACAUGGGAACUUGGAAUUCUAAUACACUCCUUGCUGUACAUUCAAUUCAGCAAUGGUUAUCAAUCGUUUUCUUCUGUCAAAAUCUUUGAAUGAGUAAUACUGGUUUGCAUGGAAAAUGUGUUCACCAAGGAGCUCUGGUCGCCGAAAUGCUUUUAGUAUUAGCUGCCUUUGGGAACAUCCUUUGAAAAUGCAGCCCAAUAAGUCUUCAGCAUAUUAUUUACAGCCUUGCAAGCUAAGCAUGGACUGAACAAUUGCAUGCCAUGUUAAUAAUAAUGGCUUCAUAAAUAUGAUUGAAACCUUA